CUCUUCUGACUUGGGCAGUUCUUUAUUUUUUAAUGUUUUUAUUUUUAUUGCGGUAACAUUGGUUGAUAACAUUAUAUAAAUUUCAGGUGAACACCAUUCUAUUUCAAUACCUGUGUAGACUACAUCUUGUUCACCACCCAAAGACUAAUUACCAUCCAUCACCACACACGUGUGCCUAAUCACCCCUUUUGCCUUCCUCCCUCCCCACUUCUUCUCUGGGGACAACAAAUCCAAUUUCUGUCUCUAUGUGAUUGUAGCUGUUUUUACCUUCCAUUGAUGAGUGAGAUCUAAGCAAGUUUUUAUGGCUGUUAGUUUUGCAAUCUUCCUCUAGAAAUUUCAUGAACCUUCUUCUGUGGGAGCCUCAUAGGUCAGAGUCAUUUUGGGAUAAGGAAUCCUUUGUCUCAGAUAUUCUUGCACAAAAGAGAGGAUGGGCCAUGACCAAUUUUACCAGCAGUUAAAGAUAAUUGUCACAAAGAUUUGGGAGGUGUGACAGGAAGGAGCACAGACUACGGGAACAGACUAGAGGGUUGAAUCCUGGUUCAACCUCCUUUUCAGCUGUGUGGCCUCAGGCUAUUGUUUUGUUUUGUUUUAUUUUAACCAUCCUCAGCUUCCAUCUCUUCAUCUGGAGAACUAUAAUAAAAAUAAUGCCUGUGUGAAAGGCUGAUCAAAUGAGAUCACGGAUGUGAAAAGUGCCUGUGUUUUUGCAAACUGGAAAGUACCAUACCAAGACAUUUGAAGACAUAGAAAUCAAGGAAGUUACUGUUAUUAAGUUUCCAGAAUAGAAUGAUUUUAGAAGUAAACGGGGAAAUCAACAGCAAAUGUUCUGCUUGUUUAAAAGUUUUCUCCAGAAAAUAAGGGCAAGGAUCAGAAGGAAUUAGGAUUCAAAUUUGGUUACCUCUAAAACAGCUUCUAUAUUUAAAUCUUACAUAGAUUGCAUUUUAAAGACAGAUCAUGGGCGGGUAUCUGGAAUUUAGUGCAAUUCCAACAUUCCAAUUAGGUCAUAAUAUAAAACUUGAGGUACACAGAACCAGACGGUGAGGAACGACAUUUGGCGCCGAUUAUUCCCUGUUCUGUGAUUAUAUCAUGAUUGUGGAAAAACAUAGCUAAAUACACCUCUUCGCUUAACAUUUCGUUUCUUAGGUUGAAGGUGACUUGAUGAGCGGUACUAGGUCUGCACCAGGAUCCAAACCCGUGAACCCUGGGACCACCAAAGCAGACAGCACGAACUUAACCACUACACCACCAGGCCAGCCCCAUGAGUAAGGCAUUUUAAAUUGUGCUUUAGCUGUAUAGUGGACUACUCCUCAGAAAUAAAAAAGAAUAAGUUACCGAUACACGGAACGAUAUCAAUGAAUCCCAAAAGUAUUAUGGUAAGUUAAAAAAGCGGGACGCAAAAAACACAUACCUUGUAAUUCCAUUUAGAGUAAAUUUUUGAAAAAGCAAAACUGUAGUGACAAAAGCAGUUUAGUAGUUGCCAGGAGCCAGAGACUGGAGGAAAAACUUGACUAAAAGGCGACACGAGGGAAAUUUUUUGGUGAUGAAAAGGUUAUAUGUUUUUUUGUGGUAGUGGUUACAUGACCAUAUACAUUGGUCAAAACUCAUUGAAUCUUACACAUAGGGUUGGUGAAUCUUAUUACAUGUAAGUGACACCUCAUCAAAGUUGAUUUAUAAAAGGCAAAUUGGAAACUCUUUGUAGGUGGGGCUUGUUGACUUGGAGUCUUUGAAUUGAGUUUACCAUAUGGGAAGCCAUCCAUUUCAUUGGCAGUAUCCUACAAAUGGUAGUCUGUG
ensembl:lncRNA